rnacentral:rRNA from 3 species
UACGGCGAGUGAGCGGCAAAAGCUCAAAUUUGAAAUCUAGCACCUUCGGUGUUCGAGUUGUAAUUUGAAGAUGGUAACCUUGGGUUUGGCUCUUGUCUAUGUUCCUUGGAACAGGACGUCAUAGAGGGUGAGAAUCCCGUCUGAUGAGAUGCCCAUUCCUAUGUAAGGUGCUAUCGAAGAGUCGAGUUGUUUGGGAAUGCAGCUCUAAGUGGGUGGUAAAUUCCAUCUAAAGCUAAAUAUUGGCGAGAGACCGAUAGCGAACAAGUACAGUGAUGGAAAGAUGAAAAGAACUUUGAAAAGAGAGUGAAAAAGUACGUGAAAUUGUUGAAAGGGAAGGGCAUUAGAUCAGACUUGGUGUUUUACGAUUAUCUUCUCUUCUUGAGUUGUGCACUCGUAUUUCACUGGGCCAGCAUCGAUUCGGAUGGCAAGAUAAUGGCAGUUGAAUGUGGCUUCACUUCGGUGGAGUGUUAUAGCUUCUGCUGAUAUUGCCUGUCUGGAUCGAGGGCUGCGUCUUUUGACUAGGAUGCUGGCGUAAUGAUCUAAUGCCGCCCGUCUUGA